rnacentral:tRNA from 1 species
GGGGCUAUAGCUCAGCCUGGGAGAGCGCUUGAAUGGCAUUCAAGAGGUCAGGAGUUCGAUCCUCCUUAGCUCCA